GACGAACGCUGGCGGCGUGCUUAACACAUGCAAGUCGAACGGUAAGGCCCUUCGGGGUACACGAGUGGCGAACGGGUGAGUAACACGUGGGUGAUCUGCCCUGCACUUCGGGAUAAGCCUGGGAAACUGGGUCUAAUACCGGAUAGGACCACUGCCUGCAUGGGUGGUGGUGGAAAGCUCUUGCGGUGUGGGAUGGGCCCGCGGCCUAUCAGCUUGUUGGUGGGGUGAUGGCCUACCAAGGCGACGACGGGUAGCCGGCCUGGGAGGGUGACCGGCCACACUGGGACUGAGAUACGGCCCAGCCUCCGACGGGAGGCAGCAGUGGGGAAUAUUGCACAAUGGGCGCAAGCCUGAUGCAGCGACGCCGCGCGAGGGAUGACGGCCUUCGGGUUGUAAACCUCUUUCAGCACCGACGAAGCGCAAGUGACGGUAGGUGCAGAAGAAGGACCGGCCAACUACGUGCCAGCCGCCGCGGUAA
rnacentral:rRNA from 1 species